rnacentral:tRNA from 1 species
UGGCGCAGUUGGUAGCGCGUCUGCAUGGCAUGCAGAAGGUCAGGGGUUCGAAUCC